rnacentral:rRNA from 1 species
CCAAUAGCGUAUAUUAAAGUUGUUGCAGUUAAAAAGCUCGUAGUUGAAUUUCGAGACCGGUUUACUGGUCGUGCUUUUGUACGUACUGGUAUUAUCGGUUUCUCCUUUCUGACGAAUCAUAAUGCCAUUAAUUUGGUGUUUUGGGGAAUCAGGACUGUUACUUUGAAAAAAUUAGAGUGUUUAAAGCAGGCUCACGCUUGAAUACAUUAGCAUGGAAUAACGGAAUAGGACGUUUGAUUCUAUUUUGUUGGUUUCUAGGAUCGACGUAAUGAUUAAUAGGGAUAGUUGGGGGCAUUAGUAUUCAAUUGUCAGAGGUGAAAUUCUUGGAUUUAUUGAAGACUAACUACUGCGAAAGCAUUUGCCAAGGAUGUUUUCAUUAAUCAAGAACGAAAGGUAGGGGAUCGAAGACGAUCAGAUACCGUCGUAGUCUUAACCAUAAACUAUGCCGACUAGGGAUCGGAUGAUGUUAAUUUUUUAAUGACUCAUUCGGCGCCUUACG